rfam:Nectria haematococca mpVI 77-13-4 chromosome 3 genomic scaffold NECHAsca_2_chr3_3_0, whole genome shotgun sequence.
GGCCGCGUGGCCUAAUGGCUAAGGCGCUAGAUUUCGGUCUCUGAGCUCCCGAACUCUCUAGAGAUUCCAGGUUAGUUCAUUCAUAGCAUUAUCCAUCGAAUCCCCCACUAACAUCAUUCAAAGGUUCGAAUCCUGGCGUGGUCG